rnacentral:lncRNA from 1 species
CGCUUGGACCUGUUACCAGAAAGAUGGUCCCCAUCUGACUUGGCUGUUCUUACUGGAAUAACCUCAGAUGUUCUCUGUACUCCAAGCAAUUUGACACAUUUACUUGUCUUCAACAGCACGUUAACUCAAGAAGCACCAAAGAGCAAAAAUCUUACUGGAGAAGGAUAAUUGCAACGACUCUCCAAGGGCUCACUGUUCUUCCACCCAUCAGUAGAUGCAGUGCUGAGGAGAUAAGGACCUCCUCCCCAGAGGGGAGCUGGAAUGCAGUGAAUCAGCACCGCGUUGCAGACCACGCUUCAGCUGUCUUCCAAUAAGCUGUACUUCAGCAGCCCCAGCAGUUCACAGUAGCAGCACUAAUUUUUAC